UACGAAGGGGGGCUAGCGUUGCUCGGAAUCACUGGGCGUAAAGGGCGCGUAGGCGGCCAUUCAAGUCGGAGGUGAAAGCCCAGGGCUCAACCCUGGAAUUGCCUUCGAUACUGUCUGGCUAGAGACCGGAAGAGGUAAGUGGAACUGCGAGUGUAGAGGUGAAAUUCGUAGAUAUUCGCAAGAACACCAGUGGCGAAGGCGGCUUACUGGUCCGGUUCUGACGCUGAGGUGCGAAAGCGUGGGGAGCAAACAGGG
rnacentral:rRNA from 1 species